GGAAGUGUGCCCGAACAAUUAAGGACUACUUUGAUAGAGUAGACAAUAGAGGCUAAAACCCACUCACUUCC
rnacentral:tRNA from 1 species